UACGUAGGGAGCGAGCGUUAUCCGGAUUUAUUGGGUGUAAAGGGUGCGUAGAUGGAUAAUCAAGUUAGUUGUGAAAUACCUUGGCUUAACUGAGGAACUGCAACUAAAACUGAAUAUCUUGAGUGCUGGAGGGGAAAGCGGAAUUCCUAGUGUAGCGGUGAAAUGCGUAGAUAUUAGGAAGAACACCGGUGGCGAAGGCGGCUUUCUGGACAGUAACUGACAUUGAGGCACGAAAGUGUGGGGAGCAAACAGG
rnacentral:rRNA from 1 species